rnacentral:rRNA from 1 species
CCUACGGGAGGCAGCAGUGAGGAAUAUUGGUCAAUGGUCGGGAGGCUGAACCAGCCAAGUCGCGUGAAGGAUGAAUGUUCUAUGGAUUGUAAACUUCUUUUAUAAGGGAAUAAAGGUAGGCACGUGUGCCUAUUUGCAUGUACUUUAUGAAUAAGCAUCGGCUAACUCCGUGCCAGCAGCCGCGGUAAUACGGAGGAUCCGAGCGUUAUCCGGAUUUAUUGGGUUUAAAGGGUGCGCGGGCGUUCUUUUAAGUCAGCGGUAAAAGUUCGGGGUUCAACCCCAUCGUGCCGUUGAAACUGGAAGUCUUGAGUGGGUGAGAGGUAGGCGGAAUGCGUGGUGUAGCGGUGAAAUGCAUAGAUAUCACGCAGAACUCCGAUUGCGAAGGCAGCAUACCGGGGCCAAACUGACGCUGAAGCACGAAAGCGUGGGUAUCGAACAGGAUUAGAUACCCCAGUAGUC